GAGAGAACGAGGGGGAAAAUAUCCCCUCAUUUGAGAUAAUUUCACUGAAUCGUUGCUGUGUUCUCCCCUCAGGGCAAGGUGAGACGUGUCCUGGAAAUAUGUUAGAGAGAGGAGAGAGGGCAUCCAGGAGCUGAAAGCAAAGAUGAGGCAGUCUUCAAAAACUGCUGGCCUGGGAAAAUCCAGAUUUGGAAGGGAAAUCAGUUUGCAGUCCUAUUGGUUUGGGGCCAUCCCCACAGAAGGCCUUCCUUCCUCCUUGCACCAUCUCAAAACCUUUCUCCUCUUCUUCUCCUCACUGUUGGGAUUCUCCUCAGAUCCCUGCUGCCUUUAGAAUGGAAGCAGAAGGUGAAAAAAAUGGCAGCACUGCUUGGAAUCUUAGGCUCCAUCUGCACUAUACAUGUCUUCUUCUAAUUCUUCUUUGGCGAGUAAGAUUGUCUUCCAUAAACACGGUUUUAACAAUGAGUCAGUAAGUGACUGUAGAGGCCAAUUCUGGAUCCACACAUCCUUCCACAGUGGGGACAUUGGUUAAAGCACAAUGAGCCCCCUUUAAACAGACAUGGCUCCCCACCCAAAAUAUUCUGGGAGCUGUAGUUUGUUCAGGGUGCUGACAGUUAUUAGGAGGCCUGUCUUCUCCUCAAAGAGCCUCCUGGGAAGAGGGCUAGAUAGUUAAUCUGUUCUGGGAACUGUUGCUCUGUGAGGGGAAUACGGGUUUUCUAACAACUCUCAGCACCCUGAACAAACUACCCUUAAUAAACUACCUUUCCCAGCAUUCUCUGAGGGAAGCCAUAACUGUUUAAAUCAGUGGUUUUUAACCAGUGUGCCGUGGACCCUGGGGUGCCUUGAACAAUGGUCAGGGGUGCUGUAGGGAAGGUGUUCAAAAAGGGUGAGAGGCUGCCAGCUCUGCAGGCAAGGGGUGACAUAACUGGGCCCCUGGGCCCCACGGGGUGCCUCAGAAAGAAUGUAGUUGGUUAGGGGAGCCAUGGACUCAAAAAGGUUGAAAACCUCUGCUUUAAAGUGGUCUCAUAGUGGUUUAAAUCGAUGAUGCAGAUGGGGCCUCAGAUUACAGCAGCACACUCCUGCUUUUAAGUGGCUACAAAACCACAAUUCCAAGGUGUUAACCGAGCCUUAGAAACACACAACCAGAAUUCUACCAUCAUAUUUUAAUUUUUUAAUAAAAAAAAUAGUCAAUGAAAACACUUAUUGCUCAUUCACUGCCCCCAAAGAUGACCAAAUGUGAAUCUGAUUGACUUCUGCGGCAAUUAAAGGCAGAAGAUCUCAAUGUAUGGGAAUACAAACAAAUGUCAAUAAACUUUUAAUGUGCUAUUCAA
rnacentral:lncRNA from 1 species